GACAGAGGUCCCAAGCGUUAUCCGGAUUCACUGGGUUUAAAGGGUGCGUAGGUGGGCUAGUAAGUCCGUGGUGAAAUCCCCGAGCUUAACUCGGGAACUGCCGUGGAUACUAUUAGUCUUGAAUAUCGUGGAGGUAAGCGGAAUAUGUCAUGUAGCGGUGAAAUGCUUAGAUAUGACAUAGAACACCGAUAGCGGAGGCAGCUUACUACGCGAUUAUUGACACUGAGGCACGAAAGCGUGGGGAUCAAACAGG
rnacentral:rRNA from 1 species